rnacentral:rRNA from 1 species
GUCUUUUUGAUAAUAAUAUAAAGUCUGACCUGCCCAAUGAGGAUUUAAAUGGCCGCGGUAUUUUGACCGUGCAAAGGUAGCAUAAUAAUUAGUUUUUUAAUUGAAAGCUGGAAUGAAUGGUUGGACGAGAAAAUAGCUGUCUCAGAUUAAUUUAAUUAGAAUUUUAUUUUUAAGUAAAAAAGCUUAAAUUUUUUUAAAAGACGAGAAGACCCUAUAGAGUUUUAUAUAUUUAUAAUUAAAUAUAAUUUAGUAUAGUUGAGUUUUUAUUUUUAAAUGUAUUUUAUUGGGGUGAUAAAAAAAUUAAUAAAACUUUUUUUUUAUAUUAACAUUAAUUUAUGAAUUAUUGAUCCAUUUUUUAUGAUUAAAAGAUUAAGUUACCUUAGGGAUAACAGCGUAAUUUUUUUUUAGAGUUCUUAUCGAAAAAAGAGAUUGCGACCUCGAUGUUGGAUUAAAAUUAAUAUUUGGUGUAGAAGCUAAAUAAUUAGGUCUGUUCGACCUUUGAAAUUUUACAUGAUCUGAGUUUAAACCGGUGUAAGCCAGGUUGGUUUCUAUCUUUAAAUAAUUAAAAUAUUUUAGUACGAAAGGACCAAAUAUUUAUAAAAUUUAUUGAAUUUUGAAUAAUAUUAA